rnacentral:rRNA from 1 species
UACGUAGGUGGCAAGCGUUGUCCGGAUUUACUGGGCGUAAAGGGCGUGCAGGCGGUUUGUUAAGUGCAGGGUGAAAGCUCCCGGCUCAACUGGGAGAGGUCCUUGCAUACUGGCAAACUCGAGGGAGGCAGAGGAAAGUGGAAUUCCCGGUGUAGUGGUGAUAUGCGUAGAUAUCGGGAGGAACACCAGUGGCGAAGGCGACUACCUGGCCCGUUCUUGACGCUGAGGCGCGAAAGCUAGGGUAGCAAAAGGG